GACGAACGCUGUCGGCGUGCUUAACACAUGCAAGUCGAACGGAAAGGCCCUGCUUUUGUGGGUUGCUCGAGUGGCGAACGGGUGAGUAACACGUUAGUAACCUGCCCUUGACUUUGGGAUAACUUCAGGAAACUGGGGCUAAUACCGGAUAGGAGCUCCUGCUGCAUGGUGGGGGUUGGAACGUUUCGGCGGUUGGGGAUGGACUCGCGGCUUAUCAGCUUGUUGGUGGGGUAGUGGCUUACCAAGGCUUUGACGGGUAGCCGGCCUGAGAGGGUGACCGGCCACAUUGGGACUGAGAUACGGCCCAGACUCCUACGGGAGGCAGCAGUGGGGGAUAUUGCACAAUGGGCGGAAGCCUGAUGCAGCAACGCAGCGUGCGGGAUGACGGCCUUCGGGUUGUAAACCGCUUUCGCCUGUGACGAAGCGUGAGUGACGGUAAUGGGUAAAGAAGCACCGGCUAACUACGUG
rnacentral:rRNA from 1 species